AGAUGGUGAACUAUGCCUGAAUAGGGUGAAGCCAGGGGAAACUCUGGUGGAAGCUCGCAGCGAUUCUGACGUGCAAAUCGAUCGUCAAAUUUGGGUAUAGGGGCGAAAGACUAAUCGAACCAUCUAGUAGCUGGUUCCCUCCGAAGUUUCCCUCAGGAUAGCUGGAGCCCGGUGCAGUUUUAUCAGGUAAAGCGAAUGAUUAGAGGUCUUGGGGUUGAAACAACCUCAACCUAUUCUCAAACUUUAAAUGGGUAAGAAGCCCGGCUUGCUCGAGUCCUCCCGUGAAGUCGGGCGUCGAAUGCCGGGGCUCCUAGUGGGCCAUUUUUGGUAAGCAGAACUGGCGAUGUGGGAUGAACCAAAUGCCGGGUUAAGGUGCCCGAAUCGACGCUCAGCA
rnacentral:rRNA from 1 species